AUGCUAUCGUAAAAAUGUUUUCAUUUUUUUUGUUUUGUUUUGCUUCAAAACAAAAUAGAUUACUUUUUAAAAUUUGAUUACAUUUGACAAAAUGAGGUCUAGGCUCAACAAUAGACAUUGCCAUUUCUAGGAUAUGCCUAUAUGGGGGGCUUACAUCAUGUUGUACUCAAUUGCUUUUCCCUAUUUACGGGCUGCAUGUGUUCCUCACCAGAUGUUCUCCUCAUUUUGCUUUGUGCUCUUUGCAGUCAUAGCACCCUGUUUCUGUUCCUGUUUUGCCUGGUUUGACUUUUUUUGUUCCUUAUUUCUGAUUCCUGCCUGAUUCUACAUUGCUCUCUUCCUGGUUCUGGAGGAAUUGACUGUUUAUUUACUUUGUUUUCUGACUGCCAUGCAUUGCUCUGUUUGCCUGUGUUCUGGGUAAUUGGACUGUUUUUUGUUUUUUUUAUCUGUUUUGUGCCUGCCCUGCAUUUCACUGUUUUCUCCAUGUUGGUUUUUUCACCUUUCUUGAUGCUGGUUUUAGAUCGCCCUGAAUUGCUCUGCUCACCAAGCUUAUGGAAGAGGCAUAUACUUUAUGUUGAUGCUUCAUGUGCCCAGAGAAGAUACCAGUGGACAGAAGGUGAUGUUUUUGGGUCAAGCAGAAACAGGCACGUUUACCGUAGGCCGAAAAGGGAUCAGUGUGCCACCUCCAGUAGACCCCUUUAACCCAGGCAUCCUUUACCACAGUGUGGUGGACAACAAGGACAAUCCAACUGUAUUUGUCAUGUUUAGUUCAGAUAGGACUUAUCCUGAGUACUGCAUCACAUUUACAGAUUAAUCUCAAGUAAAACAUACUAUUUUAAUUAACAUUUAAAUUUUUUUUGGCUAGGAAGUGAUUAUUUUACUGGUAGUCCUGACCAAUGAAUACUAGUUCUGAACCUGUACUGUGAAUAUUGUUAUUUGAAAGUCACUUUGAAUUUUUUUUUAUUUUGUUUUUCUUAUGGCUUUAUAACCUUUUUCAGACAGAUAGAUCUCAAUUACUUACUUUCUCAUUUGUUCCUGAAUUUCUUUGGAUCUUGGCAUGAUGUGUAGCUUUUGAGGAUCUUUUGGCCUACUUCACUUUGUCAGUCAGGUCUUAUUUAGGUGAAUUCUUGAUUUGCGAACUGGUGUGGCAGUAAUCAGGCCUGGGUGUGGCUCAGGUGUGAUAAACCACAGUUAAGUUAUGUUUUAACAGGGGGGCAAACAUUUUUCACACAGGGCCAUGUGGGUUUGGAUUUUGUUUUCCUUUAAUAAACAAAACCUUCAUUU